UAUAGAUGGCAGACAGGAAAUAUACCAAGUGUCUGCCAGGGGGAUCGAACCAGCAACCUUCCGGUUACAGAUGAGCUUCCCAAUCUCCUGAGCCACACUGACACAGACCUACACUUCCCGCCCUCCAAACGCCUUCGAAGCUUAUGUCUUCUAUAUUGUGUGAUGAUUCAUGUGCCGAGUUGAUUUUUUUUUUUCUGUUCUCAAACUGAUCUCCCUGUUGGAGCUCAGUCUGGGGGGAGUUCUUUUUUUUCUCCUCGUCUUUCUUCCUGUUGUGCAUUUUCCAUUGUUAUAACUCUCUGACCUGUCUUCCCCAUGUGAUGUUUGUGUAAUGUAUGUAUAGUCGGAAGGAAUUCCUGCGCUGAAGACACCCACAACUGUCGUCUACAAACUUUGCCGGCUGCUGCUGAUUACCCUCGUCAGUGGUCCACUACUUAACAGUGUGUGGCUGAGCUUCAAUCGACACUGGAUCUUUGAGUGACCUAAACCUGGAAAGGAGUGUGUUGCAGGAGAAGAGCAUUAUUGUAAAUAUCGAAUGUUGGGCUUUCAUCUUUCACACCAUGGACCACGAGCACUGUGCAGGAGUUGGGAGUACCAUGAAGAAGUCACGUCUUUGUGAGGCAGGAGAGGAGCGGAGGGGAAGCUGGGAUCAGCUGAGACCGGAGCUGUCCAGACUAUGGACUGUCACAACAAAUGAAAACUAAAAAUAAACGUGGCAUCUGGCAAUA